GCAGUCAGGGCAGGUGCUUUGCAGAAGGCCACGUGCCCUGGGGGAGUUGGGAGAAGCUGCGCCCAGGGGCAGGAAGCAGGCUGCUGUCCCGAACUCUGAAGCAGGGGUUCUCACACUGGGGGUCGGGACCCCUCGGGGUCGUGAAGUUAUUACAUGGCGGGGGGAGGGGUUGCGAGCCGUCAGCCUCCAUCCCAAACCCGCUUUGUGUCCAGCAUUUAUAAUGGUGUUAAAUAUAUCAAAAGUGUUUUUAAUGUAUGGGGGAUGAGGGGGUCGCACCCAGAGGCUGCUGUGUGAAGGGGUCACCAGUAUGAACGUUAGAACCGCUGCUCUGAAGCAUUUUGCAGCAGGUCACUGAGUGGUUGGUUAAUCAGUCAGCUGAGUGGCUAACAGGGAUUUCAGCAGAGGAAGAGUCCGCCUGGAUUCCAACUGAAGAUCCCUACAGGCAAGUGGAGGGAAGAUGUUGUUUUAGACUCAGCAGACUGUCUCGAUUUGGUGAUCAAAGACUCUGAGACUUAAGGGAACUUUCAGUUUCUUCUCACUGUCUUUCUGUGGGGACCGAACUGUUCAGAUUUUCAUUUGUUUUCUUUAUGCUUAUGUAUAACUGUGAAGGUAACAGCUGAGAUUAUAACAUAGCCAUGUCAUGUUGUAAAAAUUAGAUUAUUAUUUUUCUUUAUCAUAAGAUUUUAUAAAGUUAUUUAAUUAAAUUCA